GCAGCAGACACUCCUACUGCCUGAUUUCUCAUUUUUUUAAGACGGAGUCCUAUAACCCAGGCCGGCUCUGAGCCCCUGCUGCAGCCUCCAGUGCUGGGGUGACAGGCAUGCACUAGUACCCAGCUGGUCUUCACUUUUGAUUCUGAAGGAGCCAAAGGUUCCAACUCUUACAUUUGGGUUGUUGUUUUUUUUUUUUUUAAUUAAAAAAUUGUUUUAUUUUUGAGACAGGGUCUUACUAGGUGGCUCUGGCUAUCCUAGAACUCAAUAUGUAGACUGGGUUGGCUUCGAACUCAGAGAUCUGCCUGCCUCUGAGCACCGUGCCUGACUCAUUUGGGCUCACAUCUCUCAUCUGCUGUGAUGUUGUUGAGGUCCUGCUGGGUCACCAGGAUGACCUGGCCCACUGAGGACACUUUGCCCCCAGGAGGGAACACUGCCCAGGUUGACAGAAUAAAUGGAGGAGGACACAGGCAAGUAGAUUCCAGGCUGAGUCACCACAGCCCCCGGUGGGCCUCCAGCCUCCCCCAUCCCUGCAGCCCACUAUAAACACAGACUGGAGUACACAGCACGGUGGAGCCUCGGAAUGCCUUUAAUCAGGCUCUGCAGCCGUUGCCAAAUUUCCAGACCCGGGAAGGAACGGCCUGUGGCGGGCGGCGCCGGCUGUUCCUCCAGACAGUGGUGGAGGUUGGACACAUGCACUUGGGCCCAGAGCUGUGACGGGUCCCUUGGGGUCUGUGCAGAACAGCUGUUUUUGUGGGGCCCUCCUUCCUCCACAGGGUACCCCAGCCCUCUGGCUGAGUGCCAAUUCCUGAGUGGGGUCUUACAAAGGGAAGAGACAGUUCUGAAUCCUCAGGUUCCAGUAAGGAGACUGAGGCACCAAGGGGCCGCAGGUCAGGAAGGAGCCUCUGUUAAGAGCCAGCCUGUCCCAUGAGUCAAUGGAGGGUGUCUUGUCACCAUUCUGGUUAGAGCACUAUGUGAAGACUAACAGUUGUACUGGGGCCAGGAGUUGGGGUGCACACCUUUAAUCCCAGCACUGUGGAGGCAGAGGCAGGUGGGUCUCUGUGAGUUUGAGGCCAGCCUGGUAUACAGACAGUGUUCCUGGACAGCUAGGGCUACACGGAGAAACUCUUGUCUCGAAAAACAAAAAAACCAAACCAAACCAAACAAUAAAACCAGUUGUACUACAGACUGGAGAUGAGCUCAGUAGGCAGAGUGCUUGCAGCUCAGUGGGCAGGGUACUUGUCAAGCACGCACAAAGCCCUGGGUUCUAUUCCUAGCACCACAUAUAGCAAGUGUGGUGGCACAAGCCUGUAUUUCAGGAGAUGGAGGCAGAUAGAUCAGGGAUUUAAGGUUGUCCUCGGUUUUACAGACUGCUUGAGGUCAGCCUGGGCUACAUGAGACCCUGUCUGCCAAAACAAUGAUAACGUGGAAAGCCUAGAAUACCCACAUGACAUGCCCCAAGUCCUCAGGGAUGCAGCACCCACAGCCUGUUAAGACUAGAGAUGCCAGGUCCUCUGUGUGAGCGCACAGCAUAGUAUGGUUCUGCAGAGGCUUCUUAGCCUGGGCUCUUUUGUGCUGAGGUGAGGGCCUGAUCAGCUGUCACCUGCUUCUGGCUGGGCUGGGACCUGCGGGCUGGUAAGUAUGGGACGAUUUCUGGGUUUAGGCACUGUGCUUUAGUAAUGGCCCUACCUACCAUGCGAAGCAGCAAGAGGCUGUGGGGCAGGUGAGCACACAGGGUUUCUAGUUACAUGUUUCUAGGGUGAACAGGCAUAAGGACUGCCCUCCCCCGCACUAAACAAAAUUGUGCCCUACCAACAAACACGCACCCACCCAAACCUCAAAGGUAACUGCAUUAAAACCUGGGGUCUCCGCAGAGUCUGCUAAAGGUCUGAAACAUGAGGCCUGGACUUAAGGAGAGGGAUGUGGCCAGAAGCCAAGGGAUGACAGGAUGGUCAAAGUCACAAGCAAGGGCAGAUAGAGGAUUGGGCCUUGUGCUGCAUGGCAAGCCACACAUCCAUGACCUCAUGUCAUUGUGACGUUAACUCAGCAGAGGCCCAGAGUGUAACAGAGAGUCACAGGACACAGGCCAAGGGGACCCCUGGGAGAUGUGCAAGGAGGAAGGUUGGGCAAGCAAGAGCAGGGUAGAGUAUAAGGUGCAGAGUGAGUGGAGUGGGUACCAGGGCCUGGCCAGCCUGGCUCCCAAGGGUGGCCAGCAUACAGGGGCCAGGAGGGUGAGCUAGACCAUGACCAGACCAGGGGCGCUGAGGGCCUGGAGGGCUGUGGACUCAGGGAGCUGAUAUAGGCUAGACUCUAAGGAACUGAGGCUCUCUGGCUAUAGACUAGCUUUGUGCUGUGGAUGAUCGUGAACUUGUGCAGGCCUUAGUGCUAAGAUGACAUCAUGCAUGUGCAAGAGUGUGCUUGUAUGUGGAGGCCAGAUGUCAGCAUCGAGUUUAAUUCCUUAAGAGACACCACCUCGUUUUGGGAGAAAGCUUUCCUUGCAGGCCUGGAAGCAAGGUCUCAUGUAGCCCAUGCUGACCCUGAAUUCCUAAUUCUCCUGCAUUCACUUCCUGAGUGCUGGGGUGACAGGUGUACAUUACUAUGCCUGACAGCAGUUUUUGUUUUUUGGUUUUGUUUUGCUUUUUUCCUUUUGGGGUACUGGCAUGGGCCACAGGAGGAUGUGGGCAGUGGGGUUGAGAGGAGCCUCUCUGAAGAUGCAGAAUUUUCUAGAAGGUCUCUGUGGAGGUUGCUGGGACACAGUAGGGCCCAGUCAUGGCCAGGCUGAGCAAAAAGAGGCAGUUGACCAUCAGCGGAGGAUGGGACAAUAGACUUGUUCGGGUCCAGGAAAAAUUAGGGCCAAGUCUUCAGAGCCGAGCCUUCUUCCUGACGGGCUCCAACUCCAGAACCAGUGCCUAGGAGAUCACAAGCAGAGCUGUUGCCGGCGUGAACAAGCCUUUCUGUGUGGAUUCAGGUUGGCCCGAUGGGCACAGGUCGGCUUGUGCUGUUCCUCUAGCACCGUCUGCCAAGUUAGUUGUGAAGUGCAUGCGCCCACAGGAGCCACAGGGACACACGUCUUUCCAUGUCCCCUCCUGGAUCUUUAUGUAUCGUUUUUAUAUUUGCUUACCUGUUUAAUGGGGGUGGCAUGGAAAGUCAGAGGAAAACAUGGAGGAGUCAGUGUUCUCCUUCCACCUGUGAUCCCAGGACAGAGCUCGGGUUUGCAGGCUUGGUGGCAGGGGCCUUUACUGGCUCAGCCAUCUUGCCUGCCCCCUACCCCACCCCCGUUCUAAAGACAGGGUCUCUCACUAGCCUAGAAGUCACUGACUAGAGUAAGUAUUCUGGCCAGAAAGCUCCAAGGAACCUGUUGUCCCGCUUCCCACUGCUAGGAUCACACGCGUACCAUCUUACUUGCCUCUGACCUGGUACCAUGCAGCCUCCUGAGUGCUGGGAUGGAGGCAUGCACCACCACAUGCCCAACCUGCCCUUUUGCUCUGGGCCUCUGACAGUCCGUGACACACACUGUGAGCUUCCAGUCCCCAAAUGGCCACCCAGCAGGAAACACCUCAGACUCCUUUCUCUCCUUCCCGAGUUCCAGCCAAGGCAUGGAGCUGCCUACAGGACUCAGAGACAGGCUGUGCCACUCUCUAACAUUCAGUGCUUUGGAGCUCUUGCACCCAGAAUACUCUCUCUCUCUCUCUCUCUUUCUCUCUCUCUCUCUCUCUCUCUCUCUCUGUGUGUGUGUGUGUGUGUGUGUCAGAGAGAGAGACAGACAGACAGAGAGAGACAGAGACAGAAAGACAAAGAGAGAUAGAGAGAAAAAGACAGAGACAGAGAGAGAAAGACAGACAGACAGACAGAGAGAGAUAGAGAUAGAGAGAGAGAGAGAGAGAGAGAGUGCAGAGAGAAGACAGAGCCUAUGUGUAACGGGGAUGGGCUACAGGCCUAUGUGCAGGCAGUGAUGUGAGGAGGGACACAUCCCCUCCGACUACAGAGACCAGGGCUACUGUGGCCUUGGCAGCAGUGUGUGGGUUGCUGUGUUCUAGAAUCGUGUUCAAAGCUAGUAGUGGUGGCGCAUCUGUCAUCCUAGCACUUGGUAGGUGAAGAAAGGAGGUUCAGGAAUUUAAGGUCACAUUCUUGCCUACAGAGUGAGUUCAAGGCCAGCCUGGGCUACAUGAGACUCUGUCUCCAAAACAAACAAAUAAAAGGGGGGAAAACUCUUCAAAAUACAAGUAAGAGUUAAAACUGUGGGCACUGUCAGGUGUGGUGGCACAUGCCUUUUAUCCUAGCACUCAGAGGCAGAGGCAGGAGAUCUCUGUGAGAGCCAGGCCAGCUUGGGCUGCACAUUGAAACCCUGUGUAACAAAACAACCAAAGACCAACCCAAAACCCUGGCACCUUCACCUGCAUAAGCAGAACACUACUGGGACAGAUGGUCUUCAGAUGCACAUCAUUAGGCUAGGAUGAAGACUAUGCACCACUUGCCCAGGCCCAGGGCUCAGAGAGGUGCUCAGAUCUCAAGACCUGGCCAGGGGGACCUUGCUGGCGUCUGCUGAGCACACCAUGGCCGGCAACCCUAUGAUGCUGAUGAUGGAGGGCUGUGGGGCAGCAUCCACACUGGGCAAAGAGGGCAGCUCAAGCCACGCAGGCCACACCAGAGACAAGAAGAGAUGCCCAGCACCCCAACCCCACCCCAAGCCUUCCCACAUCCCUGAGCUCUCCUUGGGCUCCCAAGACAAUGUCAGUCUUUGGUCCCAGCCUGUGCUGCUCUGAUACCCAGGUGUCUACACAGCCUUAUUCUAGGCCCACCCUGGCAGGCCACCCCAUCCUGUCACUGCUGUGUGACCCAGCUCCAAUGCCCUCACUCUUUUUUUCUUUUUUGUAACACCAGUAGGUUUCUGUUCUAUUUAAAAUGAAGCCAGCUUGCUCAGAACUUCAACAGAUACAAUAUAAAAUGACCAGCAUCCCAUCCCCAAGGACAAGGAGAAGACACCAAAGCACAUGGUCAUGGUAGCUUGGCAAUGGGAGGCCAGGCAGGAAGCGGAGGAACACACAGCACCCAGCCGGGAAGCCAAGCUCACAGCUCACAGAGCAAGCUGCAGCGACUAGACAGGCACAAGGUGGAAGAGAGCUCCCAUCUGAGGAGCUAAGCGAGAUACACAGGAAACAGCAUGAGCAAAAGACCUAGGGUUGCAGGGUGAACGUGCUGCUGGAGGGACCAGGCCACACCACGAGCAAGGACCACAAGAGAGCCAGCCAUGGAAGGUGACUUCAUCCAGAUGAGACCUAAUGAGCCCCCGGUCAGGCCUCUGACAGGGAAUGUAGACAAAUGGGAGGUUACCAGGCACGAAGAUAUCUGUCCAGGGCAGCAAGGAUAUGGGGACCCACCUUCCCAGGGAUGCAAGCCCCUCACAUUCCAGUUUCUCAGUCUCUGUCACCCAUACAGCAAACCCCUGUCCUCUAACAGCAAUACCUCGUUCUCCACCCCAGACAUUAUCCUGAUCUCAAGGCUACACCCGAGAGUCCUGAAGGCCCAGCGCUAUUCUGGCUCUGCUCCCUGCCUGUCCCCUGCAACAGCAGAUGGCACCUGCUAUGAACUGGCCAUCCCCAUAAGAUGGUGGCCUUGUACCAAAGUGUGUUAAGUAUUGCAGACAACUCAUUCCCAAUUAUCCCUUGACUUGUACACAUGUGGAUGCCCCCAGCAAGUAAUUAUUAAAAAAUAAGCCUUAAAAAGUUAAAUGCACGGGGCUGUGGGGUGUGGGUGUGGGUGUGGGUGUGGUGCAGACCUUUAAUUCCAGCACUCAGGAGGCAGAGGGAGGUGGAUCUCUGUGUUCGAGGCCAGCCUGGUAUACAGAGCAAGUUCCAGGACAGCCAGAGCUUACCAGGGAAACCCUGUCUCGAAACCACAAACAAAACAAAUCAAACCACCAACCAGUGUAGAACCAACAGGAGAGAACACUCCAGUGCCAAGACACUGGAUGGGAAACCUUUGUGCAAAGGGCUCUGGGAAAAUCGCAUUCUCACACAUACAGAAAGAAAGUAAUGUGACAGACAGCGUUCAGAAUCCACACUAAAGACCGAGGAUAGAACCCAAGUGCAACUAUCUUGGAAACUGCAGACCUCUGAGGCAGGCAGCCAUUCUUGGAUAUGACACCAAACUCAAGCAAUUAAAAACAAACAAACAAACAAACAAACAGAACCAAGAAUUGGAGUUUGUCAAAAAGUAUAAACAUUCAAGCAUCAAAGGGCGCC